GGCUUAUGGUGGUGUUGAAAACCGAACCUAGGAACUCAGAGCCUAAGGCAUGACAGUCUUUUUGCAUAGCCAUUAUGCUAUCUUUUCUGUCCUACAUUUUAAUUUUCUCAAUUGUGCAGACAGUGGCUCCUUGUCUGUAUCUCCAGAGUGCUUCCAUGUGCAUGUAACUGCCUGGCCCCUGAUGAUUCUUAUUCUAUAAGCAGCCCAAUCCAAAAAUGUUCCUUGUUAAAAUUUGUACCCCAGUUGACAGCUAGAAAGAACUAUAAGCAAAUCGUGCUCAAAUGAAUGAAGAAAGGUUAGGACUCUCUAUGUCAGCUUGUUCCAGUCUAUCUCCCCCUGGAUACAAGGUCUCCUUUGAUUGGUCACAGGGGGACCAUAAACUCUAGCAUCAACAAACAGCGUGCAUUUAAGAAUUGGGGGCAUGGCGGUCAGGCACUGGGUUAAGCACAUAUAGUACAAAGUGCAAAGACCCAAGCAUGAUCACCAGUUCAAGUCCCCCUGUCCCCAACCACAGGGGUGUCACUUCACAAGCCUCGAAGCAGGUCUGCAGGUGGCUUUCUUUCUUUCCCUCUCUCCAUCUACCUUCCCCUCUCAACUUCUCUCUAUUCUAUUGAAUAAAAAAUAAUAAUAAUAAUAAUAAUAAUAAUAAUAAUAAUAAUAGUCCUCCAGAAGUGGUGUUGUAGUGCUGGCAGUGAGCCCCAGUGACUAGGGGCAAAAAAGAAGAAAAGAGAAAAAAAAGAUGGGGGAGCUUUCUCCACAAUGGUUAGCUAAGUAAGUGGGGGUGUUCCCUGGACCCCUACACUAGUCUCCUUCCAUCCUCUGCUCAGUGCCCAGCCCCUCUCUGUCCAUUACCAACACCUCUCUCUGUCCAUUACCAAAAUCACUUUCACCUUCACAGAUGUCCUUGCUGGGGGUGACUUCGCUGCCUGGACCACUUUCCGAUCUGUCACCAGCCGCCGCCGAUACCAGGGCAUCUUGGUGGCCAUAGACCAGAGGAAGAAUGCUAUCACUACCUCCACCCUCAGUGAUCCAGAAAACAACUGGCGUGACUAUCUGUGUGUGACUCCUGAGCAGGAGGAGCAAGGGACUGUACUGUCCCUCUAGGCCUCUGCUCACAUCGCGGAAUCUGUCAGGGCCUGUGGGGAUGGGCUGGCUCCCAAGGUGCCUCUGUAUGACAACUAUGCCCUGCGCCACCCCAUCUUCCCACUCCACAUGGCAGAGGAGGACCUCAUGGAACAAAUCAGUCUGCUUCUGCAGGGAAAGAAGGAUGCGGUCAGCCCCUUCAGCACCUCUGUCACCGCCUAUCUGAUCAUCUGCAGGCUCAUGGGGUUCAUCAGCACAGAUUUCCAGAAGCAGAGCCUCGCCAUCCCAGAAUCGUAUUUCUACUAAAGGACUUAGUCGAAUUUGAAUCCAGUCUUCAGCUGUGAAUUUUCUAUCACAAAAAUGGAUUUGAGACACCUUCAUCUCAGGCAUUAGUGGAGAUUCUCUGUGCCGACUUGGAUAUAUGGAAAAUGAGCUUCAAACAGAAAUCUCAGCUCAUCUACUCUCCCAUUCUUCUAGCAACCCUUAUCUCCUCAUUAGAGAAAAAAAUUCUCCACAAA